rnacentral:rRNA from 1 species
AAGCGGAGGAAAAGAAACUAACAAGGAUUCCCCUAGUAACUGCGAGUGAAGCGGGAAAAGCUCAAAUUUAAAAUCUGGCAGUCUUACUGUCCGAGUUGUAAUCUGGAGAAGCAUUUUCUGUGCUAGACCGUGUACAAGUCUCUUGGAAUAGAGCGUCAUAGAGGGUGAGAAUCCCGUCCAUGACACGGAUUACUAGUGCUUUGUGAUAUGCUCUCGAAGAGUCGAGUUGUUUGGGAAUGCAGCUCAAAAUGGGUGGUAAAUUCCAUCUAAAGCUAAAUAUUGGCGAGAGACCGAUAGCGAACAAGUACCGUGAGGGAAAGAUGAAAAGCACUUUGGAAAGAGAGUUAAACAGUACGUGAAAUUGUUGAAAGGGAAACGCUUGAAGUCAGUCGCGUUGUCUGAGACUCAGCCUUGCUUGCAUGGUGUACUUCUCAGUUAACGGGUCAACAUCAAUUUCAGUUGGUGGAUAAAGGCAUUGGGAAUGUGGCACCUUCGGGUGUGUUAUAGCCCUUUGUUGCAUACACUGACCGGGAUUGAGGAACGCAGCACGCCACUAAGGCCAGGGGUUCGCCCCAUGUAACGUGCUUAGGAUGUUGGCAUAAUGGCUUUAAGCGACCCGUCUUG